AUGAGUUUUAUAGGGACUUUCUUGAUGUAAAACUAUACUUUUUUUUAAUGUGGUAUUUCCAUUUUUAUAUAAUUUAUUACCAUUUUAAGAUAGAUGUACAUUUUAAGAGAGAUGUUUAAAUCUUAAUAUACUUUUUCCAUUUUUUAAAAUGUUUAUUUCCAUUUCUUAUUUUUUUUACGUAAUAUCUAUAUUUUAUAUUUUAAAAUAGAUAUUUAAAUCUUAAUGUACUUUUUCCAUUUUUUUAAAUUGUGUAUUUCCUUAUAUUAUAUAUUUUACAUUUUAAGAUAGAUGAUUAAUGCUUAAUGAACUUUUUCCAUUUUUUAAAUUUUGUUGUGUAUUUACUUGUUAUUAUAUAUAUAAUUCAUAUAUUAUAUAUUUACAUUAUUUACUUAUUAUUUACUUAUUAUUUAUUUUCCUGUAUAUGUAUUUCUAUUUCUUGUACUUUUUAUUUACUUAAUAUCUCUAUUUUACAUUUUAAUAUAGAUGUUUAAAUCUUAAUGUACGUUUUUCAUUUUUUUUUAAUUGUAUAUUUUCAUUUGUUAUACUUUCUAUUUACGUAAUAUCUAUAUUUUAAAUUUUAAGAUAUAUUUUUAAAACUUAAUGUAAUUUUCC
rnacentral:lncRNA from 1 species